GGCAUGGCUGAUUUGGGUGGCAGCCCGGCACACUGAAGCCAUUUGUGAGGAGAAGGCUUGAGACCCCCUUCUGGUAGACUGACCAAAAUUUAGGCUGAGUCAGCAUUUCCAUUAUGGCGAACACAGCUGAUUAAGCUUCAGAAACAAAUGGGUAAUGUCCACGAUGCUAACUCCAAUCAUUGUACAGUCCAUGCUUUUACCUGUUGUGUUGUCACACCUGCUAACCCUGUUGGAUAGGGCUUCACAAAUGCAGCUGGAAUUUUCUGGAAAUUCUAUCUACUGAUAGAUGAUUGCUCCCCAAUGUGAUUCUGUCAUAAUUAUUGUGCAGAAUAUGCAAAGAUGUAUCCUUGACAGUGUGAGAUGCUUGUCACAGACGCGCCUCAUUGUAUCAUAGUGUGCUGAAACUUUGGCCGAACUUGUGCCUGUCCCUUAGGACAGUGUUAAAUGGGUGUUAACCUCCACAUUACAAGCCAAGUGUGAGCUACACACUGCUUAAUUUCUUUGCCCCCAACCCCCCACAUUUAAAAAUAGCGGUGAAGCGACAGCCGAGCUCGAUGCAUUAUUGAUACAGGCGGUGUCAAUGAUGCAUGUGCUAAGACACCGGUGCUAAUUUUCACUCCCAUGUAGAGGCUGGAAACAUUGACCUGCUGUCAUUCAUUUGCGUUGUUAUUGCUGCUUUUUUGACCCCGGCCAUGAGGACAGGGUAGCUUAAAUACGGCAGCUCCUCUUGACUUAUGAUGGCUGCAGUGAUUGGGUUAAGUGUAGCAGGGUUUUGUGUGCCACUGUGUCACUGAGGACCCCCCUGCUGCAGCAUUAGCAGCCGCAGCAUCAGCAACCCUGUCUGGCCUCUGCUGUGUGAUGUUUGGCAGUCGGGGGGCUGGAUUCAUCACCAUCACGCUGAUCCAAGGGCCGAUCUGAUGGCAUCGGUUUUUACGAUGCCCCGGCUUUCCUGUUCAGUCACAUUAUGAAAGCAUGACAAGUGUUUUUUUUUCUUCUUUUUUGUCACUGCCAUGUUGCUUCUGCUGUUGGAGAUGUGAUGAGUGCAGACAUUUUUUCUGUGUCAUCACUGUGAAAACCCUGCCCUAAAGCCUACUAUCAAACUUUCACACACACACAUUUGCACAUGUACAAGUACACACGCGCACGCUUACACACACUGACACUGACUAAAGAGUGAUUCAGUGAUUGAGGAGGGGCUUUCUUUAACAAUUUGAGUGCAGUGGAGGCUAACACAAACCCUUUAACAGCUCCUCCUGCGUCUGCUUUAUACCCUGUGAAGGUGUCCUUAAUUUUUCAACAGCACAUCUCUUAUUUUUUUGUUGCCUUGGUAACCGUGUCGGUGGUCAUAAGAUGUCCGUUUUGGUUUGGCCUUGUAAGUGUUGAGCUGCGUGGAACUGGACGGUGGGGCUUGUCAGUGUGUGUGGGCUGUGAUGUGAGAGUGAUGAGUGGCAUCUCAGCCCAGAUAACUAUCUUGUGUGUGUCACUCAGCUGUGGGUUGGCAGGGUCUGUGAUCAGCAGCUGAGGAAAAUCCACACAGUCAGUGAAAAUAGUAAAAUGGGACACGCUCACAGCUCAUGUAAUUGUAAAGUAGCGAUUAAUGGGAAUAGUAAAGUGGGAGCUCUGCUUAACAGUGAGCUCAUGAAUGCUUUAUAAAGGAGGAUAUCAGUGUCGUCAUGUGAAAACUUUCUAACUGCAUCUCUGAGCAUCUGUGCAGUAAUUUAAUUUUUUUUCCCUUUGAAUAUGAAAACUCUUCCUGGCUCUGGUAAAACCAGCUCAGAGCCCCAUGGGGUAAAGUUCAAAAGGGAUUCUUGGAAAAAAGCUGAUAUUGACAUUAAGCAAGCAGCCAGAGUCCCUUUCAAACACAGAUUUGGAAACAAUCUGCCGGGUUAAGACACCCUUCUGGAGCAUCUCCAUGCCCUAAAAGAAAAAGAAAAAGAAAAAAGUCCUCUUCAGGACUCUGGGACUUCGACUUGACUGUCCCGGACUAUUGGAGUUAGUGCUGACCCAGCAGCAGCAGCAGCAGUGCUCUCCUCCUCACAGGGACAUGCUGGCUGUUAGGUUCCAAAAUGCACACAGCGGUCCUACUCUCAGAUUUACUGGUUAUGGACAUUUUGGCUCGGCAUCAUGAUCGCACUUCUGCAGUGUGUGAUGUUUGUUUGAAGCUGGGUGCAGGCCACAGAGUACAGUUCACUGCUUUGAAGUAUAAAUUUAGGUCUGGUUGGAGCACCUUAUGGGAGAGGAAGGAGACAAAAACAGACAUAUGGAUAUUAGCUGCUGGUUUUGAUAGUAGAGCUGUCCAACCAGGAUCUAUCAGCAGGAGCGUGGGAGAGCAUGAGGUCAAACGUAGGAGCAAGGUAGGGCUGGACAAUACAGCCAAAAUUAUGACCACAAUGUAUUUGUUCUAUAUGUAUGAAUAUCAGCAUUUCUUAUGAUAUUUGAUGUAAUAAAAAUAAAGAGACAGAUCUGUUUGUGUUGUUGACUUUAAAUAUUACGAUGCCAUUUAUUACCAUGUCAUCCCUUUUUAAAAAUUUUACUUUCUGAAAGUGAAGAUAAUACAAACCUGUAAACUACAAAGACAACUACAGCUCCUCAAAAAUGAAGUUCUAACCGGGAUGAAUUAUGCCUGUUUUCUUUUUCUUUAAAGCUGAAAACAUACAGGAUCCAUAUUGAGCACGAUCUGUAUUUGCUCCUUAGAGCAGCCCUGGGUAUCAAAUACAGGAUGCCUAUUUGGGGCUUGGCAACAGUGUAGUGCAGCCCCGGUCAGCUUGGCUCAGUAUAGAGGAAACAACAUGCUCACAACAGGUUGUUUUGCCUUUCUGUGAUCUAUUUCCUGCUAAUUUAGUUAUAAUUAAGUGACUGUUGAGCUUCUACUAUAUGUGAAAAAGCAAUGUGAUUUUACAGUUUGGAUUUUUGCAGGUUUACUUGUGUUUAAUAAAGUAAACUAUGUUCCUUUAUACUGUGCUGUUACCUUCAGACAGAGUUAACCGUUAAAAGUCCUGUUGGGGUCCACAUUUAUCAGGGAUUGACCAUCAGAUUGUUCUGUGUUACUGAUAAAUCCACAACCAGGAAGUAUUUCUCAUCUACAUGAACUAAUACAUAGUCGGGAGCUCGCAUAGGGUGUUUUAUUUUAAAAUACCUGAUGUCAUGCGUGGUUUUUCGUGCUUGACUUCCUGUCUUGAACGAUCGUCUCUGUGUAGAUUCACAUGCAUUGGAAGCGUAGAGCAGCAAAAAUAGACCCGUCUAUAGCAGUGCUGCUCUCGAUGCACUUCUGAUACAGAGCUGAUACGCACCCUGUAUGCGAUGCUGCAUUGAUUAUAAUGGCAACCUAUUUGCUGCAAAAUACACAAUGCUGACGUUACGCACUCAAUAAGGAUCCUGUAUGUUUUAGCCUUUAAGCUUUAAGAUUUAUGAUAGACCGUUAAAAAAUACAGACAAAGACAGACUGCAGUUUAUUUCUUAAAACUUCGGUCAAUCUUUAUCUUCAUUUUUUUAAAUCAUAAACUUCAUUGUCAGUACUGACAUCUUUUCAUUUAGAGUGUUUGCCUCAAGUUGGACCCCAAGUGACUUUGAGAACUUUUUAAUUUAAGCACGCUGGCCCCUUUGUCCAUUAAUUUGAAAUAAAAUCCAAAUUUUUCAUAACACAGUACAUUUUUCAGUAUCACAAACUGACUUAUCUUUGCAGGAUUUUGAGUAAAUUAUAGAAUUUAGAUGAUUUUAAAUUCAUCAAAGCUUUUCAACAUUUUACCCAAUGUUGCAACGUUUUUGGAACUGGGGUUGCAGACUGACCCCAAAGUAGAUGUUGAGAGACGUAGGUCACAGAGAUUGAUUAGAUGGACUUGAACUCAGUUGACAGCUAAUAAGGAAGGAGCUAGAGAAACUUGAGAUUAUCAAUUUGUCUGGUUACAAGUCAUAAGUUUGGACAGAUUUUGGCUUCUAUGAACGGAAGGCCUCCUUGAUAAACCAGCAGCUGUUUGCAGAGUAUACAGAGUUGAAGACUGCGCUGACAACACUACCAAUCUCUUCACUUACCUCUGAAGGCAGCAUGGUAUCAGCAUCAAACACAGAGCUACCAGUUCUGUUCCCAAAGCAAAAGCAGUGCCAGCUGCCCUGGAAAAAGUAACAGAUAUGCCAACAUCUUUACCCAGACACUGGCCAAAUCUCAGCAAGUGCUUAAGUUACAAUAACAGUUGCCAGAUUUAUCUGUAAUACUAUCAUACAGUGCGGUUGGAAAUUCUGGUUCCCAUGAAAUGAUCCCAAGUCCUUCACCAAGCUCUAACUUACCAACUUGCAUACCUGCACUGUAUGAGUAGACAAAGAAUGAGGUACAGCUGUUACCUCCACAAACUGGAUCAUCACAACAGAUGCAUCGACAUCUGUCCAACUCAGAGGUAUGUUAGGGUGUCAUGGUAUGGCUCUAGAGAGGAAUAUGGAGAGCUUUCAAGUUUGCAUAAAGCCCACACUAGUGACACAAGGACACUGCAGUGUGUGACACAUGCACAGACUGGAGCCUUAAAGACAAGAACCUGACCCUAAUAACAAAUCACCCAAACCUGAACUGCACAAUGCAGAGCAUUCAGGUUUAUUUCAUACAAAGAUUGUAAUACUGCGUGAGCGAACUCUCCAUCUCACCAUAAACAACAAACCCUGUCAUAUGAACUGUCAAAAACGUGUCUCUUUGAUGCCAAGAGGAGAAGCCAGCAAAGCUGGAGCUUAUAUUCCCUUAGCUUGUUUGUAAAGAACUUGGCCUUUUUGGGGUCAGGAUUGCAUGAGUACAAUUUUCCACAAAGGUCUCCUCUUCCCUAAAAGAGAUCCCAAAAUAAAGGUUCAGUCUCAAAAUUAGUCCCUCAGUCUCCAAUGAUCUUGGGGAUGAUCACUGAGAAGGCACUGAGCGGAGCUGCCAGCAGUUGUAGUUGGUGCAACAUUAUUUUAUUUCUCCAACGUGUCAUAUGUCCAAUGAGCUGGUAUUUUACCCCUUGUGUUGACGGGCAUUAUGCUUACAUGUAAAAAAUCCAGAGUUUGUAGUUCUUCUUUCAUAAAAUUCACUUGCAAUCCUUUAAUCUUGCACAAACUGUUUAUUACUCUGCUCCCACCUGAGGGUCAGAAGUUGUGAUCAGAAAGCAACAACCAGAGCACAGAUCCAGCCUGACCCAUAUAAGCCUCCUGAGCCGAGCUUUAAAUCUGACCUCCAGCAUCCUCAAAGUGAAACAAGUUUUCUUAAAAAAAACAGUUGUAAACUCAUCAAUAUGAAAUCAACAUUUUACUGCAGUUAUUGAUUUUUCUUUACCCUGUUUGUCUCCACCCCCUCAUGUCAGCCAAGUGAGGCAUACUGUCUCUUUUUUUAUCUCAUCGGUGCUGAUUUAUUCACACAGUCUGGCCCUUAAUACCCUCAUUUCAUGUCUGCUCCCAUUUCUGCUCCCAGUCUGUAUGAAACCAAAAUUCACGUUUUUAAUAGUCCCCCUCUAAUGCUUUUAAACGUGACAUUCAGCAGACACUGCAGCGGCCUCCUUUGUGUUUCAGCCAUAGUUGAUGUGCGUUUGCCAGGUCCAUCCGGCAGUGGAGCCUCUGUGCCGCCUCAGGGUCUCCCACCCCUUUGUGCCUGAAGGAAAGAGAGAGACAAGGAGGGGAGGACGAGGGGAGACAGAAAUAGAGAGAAAGACAGGAGAGAUAGAUUGAAAAGAGAUGUGAUGAUGGCAGGAAGAAUGAAAGAUGACAAUGAGAAGCAUCCUGUCACUCUAUAUCUUUGUAGGUUUUGUCUGUGUGUGAGUGUGUCUGCAUGUGUGUGAUAUAUUUGACACACACGGGGGCCCCGGCUCAGUGCACUUGUGUGUCUGUGUAGUAUCUGCAUGAGAGGCAUAAGUAUGCAUAUUUAUGCAUACGUCCGAGUGGCUUGCGUGCAUACUUGUGUGCACUUGAGUGCGCGCAGUAUCUGUUUUGUGUAUCUGUGUGCGGCAGAGAUAAAGACAUGGAGGAGGAAGGAGGCCGCCAUGGUGCUUAUAUGUCAGCCGGUGCCGGAGGGGGAAUGACUCCUCUCUGUCCCCAACCCAGAACAGAGAGGAGCAUGGCUGACUUCUCCUGCUUCUCUGCCUUUUUCUCACCCUCUCCUUCAGAAAUGUAGCUAAAACCUUCACCACAGCCUCUCCCUCUCCCCAAAUCUCCCUCCCUCUCCAUCUCUAACUCUCUCUGACUCACACACAAACUCGUACACUCGCUCGCUCGCUAACUCACAGGAGUACCUCUUGCAUUAAAUCCCCUCCUUUUCCUCCUCUUGUGCUCCUCAUCCCCUUAACCCGCCCGUUCUCCCUCCUCCGCUCCUCUAUAUCUACCUCACGCUUCCAGUUUAAGCCCUCCCACCUUUUCCUGCUGCCAUUUUUCACUACCCUGCAGCUAGAUGUCAACUUGUGAUUCUGUAUUAACCCCAUGAUCCUCACAAACACAAGCACACAUACACACACACACACACACAAACACACACACACACACAGACAAUCUCUCACGCUCCUGUUAGUCCCUGCAUCAAGCUGAUCCCCUCUCAGGAAAAUGGAAAAACCAACCCAACAACAAUAACAAAAAACAAGGCUUCUGAUACUUCCUUCCCUCUGUUCAAUUAAACAUGGCCUCCAUCUGCUUUUUUGUUUCGCUUAGGCUUCUCUUCUGCAAUAUUGACUAUGGUUGUUCUUGUGAUUGUUUCUAAAGACUGUGUUUUAACCUGUUAUAACCACAGAUGUACGUAUUAACACUGGAGGAACAUGUGAAAUAGAGAGUGUGUGUGUAUGUGUGCGUGGAUGGAGGAGGGUGGAUUUGUUCUGCUUCAAGGUUCUGUGCCAAAUCUUUUCAGAACAUUCAAUCUCUGUUCAUGUGCCAUACUGAGAAAUUUAUGAAAUAAAAAUAACAUUUUUUCACAAAAUUCAAAGUCAGAUUGGGCUGCUUUAUUUUUUCAACAUGGGUCUAUAUUAAAUGAGAGCGGAAAUCCAAUGUUUAUUUCUCUGCUUAAAAGUGUGUGUGUGCGCGCGUGUGUGUGGUGUAAAUUGGAGAUGUGUAUGUUCUCUCUUGUCUCGCUUUUUUCGCAUAGAGCCUGCACUUCUUCUUUAUAUCAGUUUCUUUUUUUCCUUUUCUAGUGUGCUGCAGAAGUGUGUGUGUGUGUUUGUGUGUGUGUGAGUGUGUGUGUGUGUGUGUGUGUGUGUGUGUGUGUGUGUUUGAAGGCAUUGUGUCAGUGUGCUAAAGCUGAUUUGACACCAACACUACAGACCAGCUAGCUGCAGGCUCUGUAUCCUGACCCGAGUGGCUGACCUCCACCUGCGCCCCAAGACUGAUCAUGUGCGUGUUUGUGUGUAUUCAAAUGGUUGUGCGUGUGUCUUGUAUGUGGGCUGCUGUUUAGCUGACAGUUAAUACUUAGCUUGUGCUGGUUGGGUUUGCCAAGAGGUCGGUUUCUGAACGCAACUGACUCUUGGUUUCAACGAUGGUGUGUGAGUGUAUGUUUGUGUAGGGGGGUGCUGGAUAGUGUCAUUGGAUGGGUUUACAUUGAUUCUCCUUUGCUUAGAUAAUCUAUUUAAACACUGAAGCUCUGGCAGUUAAGUAUCCGUCAAUCAGCUCAAAGGCUUUGCACUCUGAGAGUGUGAGAUGUUAUUUCAGUGGCGUGCCCUCAGAACAAAUCAGCAGACAAACCUGCUGACAGCUGGGCACGAGCAGCGAUACGAAACAGAUAUCAACUCUUUGUUUGUGUGUCUAUGUGUGUGUGUCUCACUGUGUGAUUUAAAGGAAUAUUCCGGCGUAAAAUAAAUUUAGGGUCAAACACACCAAAACGCCGAGUUAGACAACCCCUCGAGAGAUUAAUGUAGCCCACCGCUUGCUUCUCUAGUUAUACCAAUUUUAGUAACGACCGCACAAUAGCAACACACAGCGGUCUAAAGAGCCACGCACAAACCUCAACCAAAAUGCCACUCUCUAGCCACAAAUAAUGCUCAGAACAGCACCUAACUUCAUCAGCAGUACAUGUAGGUGGCCAGCCAUAGUACUAGCCACCAAACAUCUUUUUAGCUUUGCCUAACUGCUUUAGCAAAGAGACGAAACACAACUCACCUACUCUCUUCCAGCAGCUGCUUGCAGUCAUUUCCGUUGGCAACCUAAAAGAGGCGGUAGUCCGGCUGUCGUAAGCCCCCCUUUGAUAAGUAGCGAUAGAUUGCUUUGUAAAAUUCAUCUAUGUUUUCGCCCGAAACUACAAUGCCAUGAAACCUAUUCCAGUGAAAACCACUCCUGUAAUGUCUGGACCAACCACCAUCUUCAACGUCAUAUGAACCAACCUUCAGACAAUCAUAUAGCGUGAGGUCAUCUAUAGGCACCAGGCCCCAAGCCGAUCUG